AGUAAAUCCAACUUACCAUGAAUAUACAAUAAUGUAUAAUAUAAUAUACAUAGUAAGUGCAGAAUAAAAACUUAGGGAUUACAUGGUUCCAGUGGAUCUGGUUAGAGCCAUGACACAUUAAUUAGUAUUCUUUGCAUUUCUUCUUACUUUUCAAUAGAACACUGUUUCGCAUGAGACGGUUCCUCAAAAAACAUAAUAUCGUGUAUGAGCUAAACUAAAACUUAGGUUUUAUAUGGUUUUAUGUUUUCCAGUGGAUCUGGUUAGAGCUAUGUCACGCUAAAUGGUGUUUUUUGCAUUUCUUUUUACAAUACCUUUCAAUAGAACACUGUUUCGCAUGAGACGGUUCCUCAAAAAACAUAAUAUCGUGUAUGAGCUAAACUAAAACUUAGGUUUUAUAUGGUUUUAUGUUUUCCAGUGGAUCUGGUUAGAGCUAUGUCACGCUAAAUGGUGUUUUUUGCAUUUCUUCUUACAAUACCUUUCAAUAGAACACUGUUUCGCAUGAGACGGUUCCUCAAAAAACAUAAUAUCGUGUAUGAGCUAAACAAAAACUUAGGGUUUUACAUGGUUUUAUGUUUUCCAGUGGAUCUGGUUAGAGCUAUGUCACGUUAAAUGGUGUUCUUUGCUUUUUUUCUUACAAUACUUUUCAAUAGAACACUGUUUUGCAUGAGACGGUUCCUCAAAAAACAUAAUAUCGUGUAUGAGCUAAAC